GACGUAGGGCGCAAGCGUUGUCCGGAUUUAUUGGGCGUAAAGAGCUCGUAGGCGGCUUGUUGCGUCGUCCGUGAAAACCUGUGGCUCAACUACAGGCUUGCGGUCGAUACGGGCGGGCUGGAGUUCGGUAGGGGAGACUGGAAUUCCUGGUGUAGCGGUGAAAUGCGCAGAUAUCAGGAGGAACACCGGUGGCGAAGGCGGCAUCCCGGACCGGUAUUGACGCUGAGGCGCGAAAGCCAGGGGAGCAAACGGG
rnacentral:rRNA from 1 species